rnacentral:misc_RNA from 1 species
UACAGAGGGUGCGAGCGUUAAUCGGAUUUACUGGGCGUAAAGGGUGCGUAGGCGGCUUUUUAAGUCGGAUGUGAAAUCCCCGCGCUUAACUUUGGAAUUGCAUUCGAUACUGGGAAGCUAGAGUUAUGAAGAGGAUAGUAGAAUUCCAGGUGUAGCGGUGAAAUGCGUAGAGAUUUGGAGGAAUACCGAUGGCGAAGGCAGCCAACUGGCCUAAUACUGACGCUGAGGUACGAAAGCAUGGGGAGCAAACAGG